rnacentral:rRNA from 1 species
AACGAACGCUGGCGGCAUGCCUUACACAUGCAAGUCGAACGGCAGCACGGGAGCAAUCCUGGUGGCGAGUGGCGAACGGGUGAGUAAUAUAUCGGAACGUGCCCAGUCGUGGGGAUAACGUAGCGAAAGCUACGCUAAUACCGCAUACGAUCUAUGGAUGAAAGCGGGGGAUCGCAAGACCUCGCGCGAUUGGAGCAGCCGAUAUCAGAUUAGGUAGUUGGUGAGGUAAAGGCUCACCAAGCCGACGAUCUGUAGCUGGUCUGAGAGGACGACCAGCCACACUGGGACUGAGACACGGCCCAGACUCCUACGGGAGGCAGCAGUGGGGGAAUUUUUGGACAAUGGGCGCAAGCCUGAUCCAGCAAUGCCGCGUGCAGGAUGAAGGCC